GGGCAGGGCAAUGAAGUGCAUCCUCCUCUCCCUGACUGCCUGAAGCCAUUACUCAUGGAACACUGUGGACCUGUUGCCGAUCCACAGAGCGCUUCAAGAUGUGUUACAGGUGGCAUUCAUGUUCCACACAUAUCAGAGGUUCCUGUCUCUGAGCACAGGAGAUGCUCAUUAAGGAUUUGUUGAACUGGUGAAUUCUCUUGCCCUCAAAGUGCCAGUGCUAUAGUUUAUACACUGCAUGGUAAGCCAUGUCACGAGGAACAUGUAAAGGGAGAAAGGGCUAUGCUUUUCACAAAAUUAGUGUCUUUCUACUUUCAAGAUAAUAGACACCUCUUCUACUGUAAGAAUCAAUAAGUAAACUGGGUUUACCAUCUGCUGAGUUCUUACUGGCCACCAGGGACCAAGUUAAACACUUUAUACACACUAGUGCACUUGUUUCUUGAACACCCCCCCCCCAGAUGUCCAAUGACACAGAGUGCACGGCAACAUGACAGCAAAUCUACACUAUCCAACAAGACACUGUCCUUUA